rnacentral:lncRNA from 7 species
GGGUCCCCAGCCGCCACAACAUCCCACCCACCGUAAUUCACUUAGAAGAAGGUUCAAGAGUGGCUCUGGCAAAGUCCCAAGUUUGCCAGAGCCUCAAUAACUGGAGAAUGGAAAAGAAGGGCAGUGCAGGGUGUCACCAGAAGGGGAGUGGGGGCUGCAGGUAUCGGACUCCAGAGGGAUUUUACAGCAAGGAGGCUGCAGUGGGUCCAGCCUGCAGACACACCAUUCCCAUGAGGCACUGCGGCCCAGGGACUGGUGCGGAAAGGGCCCACAGUGGACUUGGUACACUGUAUGCCCUAACCGCUCAGUCCCUGGGUCUGGCAUGACAGACAGAACAUUUCCAGGGGAGUCAAGGGCACAGGAUGAAGCCAGACGAGGCGAGGCAGGCGGGGCAGAAUGAAUGAGUUUCUAGGGAGGGAGGUUGGGUGCAGGUAGAGCGAGUAGCUGGGGUGGUGAGCCAGGGAGGCACUGGCCUCCAGAGUCCGUGGCCAAGGAGGGCCUUGCGGGCGGCGACGGAGCAGUGAUCGGUGUCUCGAAGAGCUCGGACUGGAGACUAGGGUCUCCAGCAGAGGUGGAUGUGCCUGCCAGUCACUGAAGGCGAGGAUGACAGGUGUGGUCAAUGUGACAGAAAGACAUGACAUGGUCCGGUGUGAUGGAGAGGACAGAAGGGCAGUCAUCCAGCCUUCUUGAACACCAUGGGCUGGCGCCUUGUCGUAGAAGCCGUCUGUUCUUUCACUUUUCCCAAAGAGCUAACACUUCUCUGCUGCUCUCUGGAUCCUCCUCCCCCUACCUUGAACCCUCAAGAUGAAAGAAAUGGUGCUACCCAGCUCAUGUCUGGGCCUUUGAAUCCGGGGACUUCUUUAAGUCCGUCUCGUUCUGAAUCAAGAAGAUGCUGCAAUCAGAACCACUACACUACCUGCCUCAGGAAUCUGCUCCAAGGUGAAGCUGAAAGAACAGAUGGUGUCAACAUUUUGAAAGAGCAGACUCAUAGCACCCACCCACCCCUGAGAAUCCAUCUUCAUGGCCAACUCUGCCUGACCCGGGAGACCACCACCCACAUCAUCCUGGAGCCAAGCCUCUACCCCGGGAUGACUUCAUCAUCUCCCUCCUGUCUUUUUCUUCUUCCUCCUUUCCUGUAAUUCUGUUUCUUUCCUUUUGUUCCUUCCUUGCUUGAGAGACUCAAAGCACCCGUGACUCUGUUUCCCCAUUUACCCCCUUUUGAAUUUGCACUAAGUCGAUUGCACUGGUUUGGAGUCCCGGAGAUAGCUUUGAGUCUCUCCGUAUGAAUGUAUACAGCGAGUGUGUAAACCUCUUUGGCAAUGCUGCCCCAGUACCCACCUGUCGUCCAUCUCCGUCUGAGGGCAACUGGGUGUGGCCGUGUGCUUGAGGCCUCGCCUUCCCCUCGCCUAGUCUGGAAGCAGUUCCAUCAUAAAGUGUUCAACAUGCCCUACUUCAUCCUUUGCCCCUCCUCACCAGGGCCUCACCAGAGGUCCUGGGUCCAUCAAUAAAUACAGUUACAGU